UACGUAGGGGGCGAGCGUUGUCCGGAAUUAUUGGGCGUAAAGGGCGCGUAGGCGGACCAGCAAGUCCGGGGUGAAAUCUUUCGGCUCAACCGGAAAAGUGCCUCGGAUACUGCUGGUCUUGAGGGAGGUAGGGGCAUGUGGAACUUCCGGUGGAGCGGUGAAAUGCGUUGAUAUCGGAAGGAACGCCGGUGGCGAAAGCGACGUGCUGGCCCUCUUCUGACGCUGAGGCGCGAAAGCUAGGGGAGCGAACGGGAUUAGAAACCCCUGUAGU
rnacentral:rRNA from 1 species